rnacentral:rRNA from 1 species
GCUGCGGCGUCUGGGUGCAGCCGCAAGGUUGCCACUCUGGCGCGGCGGCCAACUUUCUGGGGAGCCGGCGUGCUAUUAGGUUAGUGCGUCGGGGAGCCAGGACUUUUACUGUGAAAAAAUUAGAGUGUUUAAAGCAGGCUUACGCUUGAAUACAUUAGCAUGGAAUAAUAGAAUAGGACUUUGGUUCUAUUUUGUUGGUUUCUAGGACCAGGGUA